rnacentral:rRNA from 1 species
UACGUAGGCAGCAAGCGUUGUUCGGAAUUACUGGGCGUAAAGAGUGUGUAGGCGGUGUUCUAAGUCUGUUGUGAAAUCUCCCGGCUUAACUGGGAGGGUGCGGCGGAAACUGGAAUGCUAGAGGAUGGGAGAGGUAAGCGGAAUUCCUGGUGUAGCGGUGAAAUGCGUAGAUAUCAGGAGGAACACCUGUGGCGAAAGCGGCGCACUGGACCACAACUGACGCUGAGGCGCGAAAGCUAGGGGAGCAAACAGG